UAUCAUAUUGAAAUACAAGUUCCCGUAAGAUGACCAAAGUUAAGCAACACCGAUCCAGGUCAGUGCCUAGAUGGGUGACCGCUUGGGAAUACCAGGUGUUGUAAG